GCUCCUUUGGCCUAGAGGUUAGAGCAUCCGCCUCAGAUGCGGGAGGUCGUGGGUUAAAUCUCCGGCCGAGUCA